rnacentral:rRNA from 1 species
UACGUAGGUGGCAAGCGUUGUUCGGAUUUACUGGGCGUAAAGGGCGCGUAGGCGGCCAGCACAAGUCAGUUGUGAAAUCUCCGAGCUUAACUCGGAAAGGUCAACUGAUACUGUGCGGCUAGAGUGCGGAAGGGGCAACUGGAAUUCUUGGUGUAGCGGUGAAAUGCGUAGAUAUCUGGAGGAAUACCGGUGGCGAAAGCGACUCUCUGGACGGCAACUGACGCUGAGGCACGAAAGCGUGGGGAGCAAACAGG